rnacentral:rRNA from 1 species
GACGAACGCUGGCGGCGUGCUUAACACAUGCAAGUCGAACGGAAAGGCCCCCUUGUGGGGUACUCGAUUGGCGAACGGGUGAGUAACACGUGAGUAACCUACCCGUGACUUUGGGAUAACUUCAGGAAACUGGGGCUAAUACCGGAUAGGAGCUCCUGCGGCAUGGUGGGGGUUGGAAAGUUUCGGCGGUUGGGGAUGGACUCGCGGCUUAUCAGCUUGUUGGUGGGGUAGUGGCUCACCAAGGCUUUGACGGGUAGCCGGCCUGAGAGGGUGACCGGCCACAUUGGGACUGAGAUACGGCCCAGACUCCUACGGGAGGCAGCAGUGGGGAAUAUUGCACAAUGGGCGGAAGCCUGAUGCAGCAACGCCGCGUGCGGGAUGACGGCCUUCGGGUUGUAAACCGCUUUCGCCUGUGACGAAGCGUGAGUGACGGUAAUGGGUAAAGAAGCACCGGCUAACUACGUG